CAAAUUACCCAAUCCCGACACGGGGAGGUAGUGACAAGAAAUACUGAUACAGGGUCCUAUCGGAUCUUGUAAUUGGAAUGAGUACAAUUUAAACCCAUUAACGAGGAACAACUAGAGGGCAAGUCUGGUGCCAGCAGCCGCGGUAAUUCCAGCUCUAGUAGCAUACAUUAAAAUUGUUGCAGUUAAAACGCCCGUAGUUGAAGUUUGGAUUUAGUCGCCCGGUCCGCCUCACUGCGAGAACUGGCUGCGAUCGAGUCUUUCUUCUUGGUAAACUGGACAUCCUUUAUUGGGUGUGUU
rnacentral:rRNA from 1 species